UAUAGUCUCCCCUCAUGAGCUAUGUAGUUGGAUGGGCUAAUCACACACCCUCCAUGGCUGCAUUUGAAGCAGCUCUUGUGGUAAGCGGUCCCGUUCACCGAAACCUGGAAAGAACGAUGAUAUUUUCUCAGUGGAGAAGUGUUCUGGCAGCCAAGACAUUUUUCUCUGGUUCCACCAAACAUGCUUGAGGCUUUAUUCACUGCAGGUUUCUGUCCAAAACAGCUAAAUGUCAGGAGUGUUCAGGACGCCUUCAAAGGAAUUGUAGUUGCCAAGCUGCAGAGAGAUUCAUCUGUCAUUAGAAUUGUGCAGAAUGGAUACACUUCUUCGCAGGACUCAAGAUUUAGUAGCGCAGCUGUUGAUCAUGGAUAGAUCAAGAUGCAGCUGUUGAUUGUAGAUAGAUCAAGCAGAGCUCCAAAAGAUCUAAAGUCAUACUCAUUAGGAAAACUAAAAUGAGCAGAUUACCUUGAGA